rnacentral:rRNA from 1 species
UACGGAGGGUGCAAGCGUUGUCCGGAAUUACUGGGCGUAAAGCGCGCGUAGGCGGAUCAUCAAGUCGGGGGUGAAAUCCCGGGGCUCAACCCCGGAAUGGCCUUCGAGACUGGUGGUCUUGAGUUCGAGAGAGGUGAGUGGAAUUCCGAGUGUAGAGGUGAAAUUCGUAGAUAUUCGGAGGAACACCAGUGGCGAAGGCGGCUCACUGGCUCGACACUGACGCUGAGGUGCGAAAGCGUGGGGAGCAAACAGG